GGGCCGUCGCGGCUCGGUUCGGUGGUCCGGAUGUCGGGGAUCUCGGGCGGCGUCCCUCGGGGUCUCCCGGCGGCCGAGCUCGGUGGUUCGGGUCGGGAGGUUGGUUCGGCAAGUCGGGUCGGCGGUUCGGGUCGGUGGUUCGGGUCGGCGGUUCGGGUCGGGAGGCAGCUCUGCCGCAGCUUCGGGAAGAGGUGACACCGUCUCGCACCUGCACACAGGUCGGGCCGGGAGCUCGGCCCGACCCCUCCGACGAUCAAGUUAGAGAAAGAUGUGGAGGGGAUUGGGGAUGAGGCAGAAGAAGAGCCUCUGAGUGUUUUGUGUCUGAGUGAGUUCUCCCCCCUUUGCUUAGGACUCAGGGGUAUUUAUAGAGGAGGUUUGAUGUUACUUGACGUAGUUGUCUGCAGGGCAGGACUGUACCUUUGGUGGUGUCUGACAUUGCCACUGGGGCUGCGUGGGAGGCCGAGCUGCUACAGGGUAUGGCGAGCCUCGGGCAGUGUGUCGCUCAGGGGGUUGCUGUCAUGGCGUGUCACAUCGCCAUUUUUACCCCUAUCAUAUGCCCCCCCCGAAAGGAGCUAUGCGUCGGUUCUUGCAUGCAGGGGGUCCGAUGCAUGGCUUUUUACUUCAGGUGGGCUGGUCAUGCGGAUCCGAGGCGUACGACGCAG
rnacentral:lncRNA from 1 species